rnacentral:rRNA from 1 species
AGUGAACGCUGGCGGUAGGCCUAACACAUGCAAGUCGAACGGCAGCACAGUAAGAGCUUGCUCUUACGGGUGGCGAGUGGCGGACGGGGGAGGAAUACAUCGGAAUCUACUUUUUCGUGGGGGCUAAUGUAGGGAAACUUACGCUAAUACCGCAUACGACCUACGGGUGUAAGCAGGGGAUCGUCGGACCUUGCGCGAUGGGAUGAGCCGAAGUCGGAUUAGCUAGUUGGCAGGGUAAAGGCCCACCAAGGCGACGAUCCGUAGCUGGUCUGAGAGGAUGAUCAGCCACACUGGGACUGAGACACGGCCCAGACUCCUACGGGAGGCAGCAGUGGGGAAUAUUGGACAAUGGGCGAAAGCCUGAUCCAGCAAUGCCGCGUGAGUGAUGAAGGCCUUAGGGUUGUAAAGCUCUUUUACCCGGGAUGAUAAUGACAGUACCGGGAGAAUAAGCUCCGGCUAACUCCGUG